rnacentral:rRNA from 1 species
UACGUAGGGGGCAAGCGUUGUCCGGAUUUAUUGGGCGUAAAGAGCGUGUAGGCGGCUUUACAGGUCCGUUGUGAAAACUCGAGGCUCAACCUCGAGACGCCGGUGGAAACCGUAAAGCUAGAGUCCGGAAGAGGAGAGUGGAAUUCCUGGUGUAGCGGUGAAAUGCGCAGAUAUCAGGAGGAACACCCGUGGCGAAGGCGGCUCUUUGGACGGUACUGACGCUGAGACGCGAAAGCGUGGGGAGCAAACAGG